rnacentral:rRNA from 1 species
UAGCUAGUUGGUGKGGUAAGARCGCACCMAGGCGACGAUCAGUAGCUGGUCUGARAGGAUGAUCAGCCMCACUGGGACUGAGACACGGSCCAGACUCCUACGGGAGGCAGCAGUGGGGAAUUUUCCGCAAUGGGCGAAAGCCUGACGGARCAAUACCGCGUGARGGAGGAARGCUCUUGGGUUGUAAACCUCUUUUCUC